rnacentral:rRNA from 1 species
GAUGAACGCUGGCGGCGUGCUUAACACAUGCAAGUCGAACGGAAAGGCCACAGCUUGCUGUGGUACUCGAGUGGCGAACGGGUGAGUAACACGUGGGUGAUCUGCCCUGUACUUCGGGAUAAGCUUGGGAAACUGGGUCUAAUACCGGAUAGGAAUCACAUGUGGGUGUGUGGUUGGAAAGCUUUUGCGGUAUGGGAUGAGCUCGCGGCCUAUCAGCUUGUUGGUGGGGUAAUGGCCUACCAAGGCGUCGACGGGUAGCCGGCCUGAGAGGGUGUACGGCCACAUUGGGACUGAGAUACGGCCCAGACUCCUACGGGAGGCAGCAGUAGGGAAUAUUGCACAAUGGGCGCAAGCCUGAUGCAGCGACGCCGCGUGGGGGAUGACGGCCUUCGGGUUGUAAACUCCUUUCGUCAGGGACGAAGCGAAAGUGACGGUACCUGGAUAAGAAGCACCGGCUAACUACGU